UACGUAGGGACCAAGCGUUGUUCGGAUUUACUGGGCGUAAAGGGCGCGUAGGCGGCGCGGUAAGUCACUUGUGAAAUCUCUGAGCUUAACUCAGAACGGCCAAGUGAUACUGCAGUGCUAGAGUGUGGAAGGGGCAAUCGGAAUUCUUGGUGUAGCGGUGAAAUGCGUAGAGAUGUGGAGGAACACCGAUGGCGAAGGCAGCCCCCUGGGUCAAGAUUGACGCUCAUGCACGAAAGCGUGGGGAGCAAACAGG
rnacentral:rRNA from 1 species